rnacentral:rRNA from 1 species
UGGGGAAUAUUGGACAAUGGGCGAAAGCCUGAUCCAGCCAUGCCGCGUGUGUGAAGAAGGCCCUCGGGUUGUAAAGCACUUUCAGUGGGGAAGAAAGCCUCGGGAUUAAUACUUCCGAGGAAGGACAUCACCCACAGAAGAAGCACGGGCUUAACUCGUGCCAGCAGCCGCGGGUAAUACGAAGGGUGCGAAGCGUUAAUCGAAAUUACUGGGCGUAAAGCGCGCGUAGGCGUUGAUCAGCCGGUUUGUAAAAGCCCGGGCUCACCUUGGAACGGCAUCGGAACUUGUCAGGUUAGAGUNCAGAAAAGAAAGUUAAAAUUCCCGGUGUAGCGGUAAAUGCGUAGAGAUCGGAGGAAUACCAGUGGCGAAGCCGGCCUUUUGGACUUGACACUGACGUUNAGGUNCGAAAGNGUGGGUAGCAAACAGGAUUAGAUACCCCUGGUAGUCCACGCNGUAAACNAUGUCGACUAGCCGUUGGGGUCCUUGAGACCUUUGUGGCGCAGUUAACGCGAUAAGUCGACCGCCUGGGGAGUACGGCCGCAAGGUU